rnacentral:pre_miRNA from 1 species
UCUUAUCAAUGAGCAAAGAAAGUAGUUUCUUGAGAUGGAAUCUACUCCUAGUGAAGAUGCUAUGAA